UACGUAGGGGGCUAGCGUUGUCCGGAAUCAUUGGGCGUAAAGCGCGUGUAGGCGGUUCGGUAAGUCCGCUGUGAAAGUCGAGGGCUCAACCCUCGAAUGCCGGUGGAUACUGUCGGGCUAGAGUGCGGAAGAGGCGAGUGGAAUUCCUGGUGUAGCGGUGAAAUGCGCAGAUAUCAGGAGGAACACCAAUUGCGAAGGCAGCUCGCUGGGACGUUACUGACGCUGAGACGCGAAAGCGUGGGGAGCAAACAGG
rnacentral:rRNA from 1 species